UCUCAAAGCUAAAAGACCACCAGAUUCCAGACCUCAGGCUACAUGACCACAGGACUCAACUAUAGGCCAAAAAUUAACCAUCCGUUCAGAGAACUUUUCAUUGGUGGGGUAUAAGAAAGACCCCGUCAGAAAGGGAGGACACUGCUUCUCCUUAAGAGCCAGUCACCCUCUUGUUUCCCUCUAAUUAAUUUCCCUUUUCGUGCCUGACUGCCCGACUCAUUCUCUUUUUCCCUGCACUCUCCUUACAAUUCUGUUUUAUGAGUGAGGAGUAUUCCAGCAUCUGGCUGUCUCACUUCAUCUUCAUUUUUUGGUCUUUGGCCUUGUUGGUUGAUUCUCUAUCUUGGCUCUAGUAAAUAGUGCUGCUCUGGAUAUAGGGGUGCAUGAAUCAUUUCAAAUUGUGAUUUUUUUUCCAUAUCUGAGCCCAAGAGUGGGGUUGCUGGAUCAUAUGGUACCUGUGUGUUGAGUUUUUAGAGGAACCUCCAUGCUGUUUUCCAUAGUGGCUGCACCCGUUUACACCCCCACCAAGAGUGUAGGAAGAUUCCCUUUUGUUUCCGACCUCUGCAGCAAUUAUUCUUUGUGGAUCUUUCUGGUGAUGGCCAUUCUGACCACGGUGAGGUGAUUCCUCAGUGUUGUUUUGAUUUACCUUGAUUUGAUAAUUAGUCAUGUGGAGUAUGUUUCCGUGUGCUUUAUGAUCUUAUACAGUGUGAGUAUAGUUUACCUGUUGAAAUUGGCUUCUUGAACAUCGACCCUGUUUUGAAUACGUUUUUUGGUGAUUUACCUCAAGGACUUGAGGGCAGGUCCAACCCCGUGUGCAUCCUUAUUCAGAGAUCAUUAGCACCAGUUUUAAAGAUAUUGUUAUGGGAAAUGGUCUCAAGGUGGCAGCAUUUCUUCCUGCCCAACUCUGGUUACUUAGGCAACCAGAACCUGAAGGAAGGCCUUGCUCCUGGGCUGUCCAGUUGCAGCUGUGACAGAAGUAACAAAGAGCCAGGGCGGAUUGUGUCUCUUGAUUUCUUCCCCCUUCCCUCUGGACUUGAGAUCCCCACUACCAGGAGUCUUGGAGCCCAGGGGACUUUUCAAAACUCUUCCAUCCCAGAAGUUCCAGCAUCCUUUGGGUGCAGUAGGCUUGGUUUAGCUGCAGGAGGACCUCCCUCCACCCCCCAGAGCUGGAGAUUGUCCAGGUCCUUUGGUAGAGGGCUCAUUGCCAGGCACAUCUUCCUUGCCCACUCAGAUCCAAGACACUCCAGCCUUGGGACCCAAGUCUGCUCAGGUUCCAGGGAUGUGACACCAGCCUAGGUCACCAGGUCUGAGGGGCCUAGAGUCAGCAUUCCCAUUUCUUUUUUUUUUUUUUUUAAUUGUGUCAUUUGAAUUGGGGAAUAUAAGUGAUUUACAAUGUUGUGGAUUUUUUUCCCCCAAUAGAUAAGAACUUUAUUCACUUAGAAGGAAAUGGCAACCCACUCCAGUAUUCUUGCCUGGAGAAUUACAUGGAUAGAGGAGGCUGGCAGGCUGCAGUCCGUGGGGUUGCAAAGAGUCGGACACAACUGAGCGAUUCUCACUUAUUCACUUAUGUCUAGACAUCUAUAUGUUCCUUUAGGGUGCUUUUCCCAUAUAGAUUAUUCCAGUGUUAAUUAGUGUUCUGCAUGCUAUACAGUGGGUCCUUCUGGAUCUUUUUAUAAUUAGGAGUGUGUAUAUGAACGAGCUAUUUUCUCCCCACACCCUUCUUGGUAACCAUAAGUUAUGAAGCUAUAUAUUGUCACCCUACUUAUUUAACUUAUGUGCAGAGUACAUCCUGUGAAAUGCCAGGCUGGAUGAA
ensembl:lncRNA